CAGCUUCCGCCUGGACAUGUCUGUCCUCUGUGGUCCUCUCACUCUCCCCAGUCCCCCUUUUCUCCACUGCCACAGAGAGGGCCCUCCAGAUCUUGGUACGAGCUGAGGCAGGUCUGAACUAAUCACAGCAAAGGAGUCCUGGAACGGAGGAGCCCUGUUGUGACCGAAUUGGGAGGGCUCUGGCAGGGAGCCAGGAUGCCAUCUUACAGGACUGGGAGCCCUGCUGGAACAAUGCACGGGGGCAGAGAGCUGAGAAAGCAAGACUGACCGCAGCAUGCCUGGCUGUAGCAUGCCUGGCUGCAGCAUGCCUGGCCGCAGCAUGCCUGGCUGCGCUGUGUUCCUUUGAGCCUGCAUCCCAGGAGAAGAACUACUGGCUCUUUACCCUAGCUGAGUGCAGAGUCAGUUCCUUGAGGAAUAUCACAAAGUACUGCGGCAGGAUAGAUAGGAUAUGGGGUCCGCUCCACUAAGAGCCUGCUCCUUGGUAAUGAUACUGGGGACUCAGCCAACUCCUAGACCGAAAAGGCGUUGGUUCCAAGCCCCUGUCCAGCAAUUUUUCUUCUCUUGGGAAGCUUCCUGGAGUGUCCAUGUGGUUCCUCUGAGAAGCCAGGAACAUGGGUUAUUACUAUCAUUAAGUUCUCUCUCUCUCUUUCUCUUUUUUUCCAUUUUUCUAGACAGGGUUUCUCUGUGUAACAGCUCUGGCUGUUCUGGAACUCGAUUUGUAGAUCAGGCUGGUCUUGAACUCACAGAGAUCUGCCUGCCUCUGCCUCCUGAGUGCUGGGAUUAAAGGUGUGUGCCACCACUGCCA